rnacentral:rRNA from 1 species
UACAGGGGGUGCGAGCGUUGUUCGGAAUUACUGGGCGUAAAGGGCGCGUAGGCGGCUUGAUAAGUCAGACGUGAAAGCCCGGGGCUUAACCCCGGAAGUGCGUUUGAAACUGUUAGGCUUGAGUACAGUAGAGGUUGGUGGAAUUCCCAGUGUAGAGGUGAAAUUCGUAGAUAUUGGGAGGAACACCAGUGGCGAAGGCGGCCAACUGGGCUGUAACUGACGCUGAGGCGCGAAAGCGUGGGUAGCAAACAGG